rnacentral:lncRNA from 1 species
GAUGAAGAAGAAAUAAGAAAUAAAGGUUGAAUAAGAGAAGAAGCCAAGGUGUAACAUUUUAGAUAGACCUAGAGACCACCCUCGCACGGAAGAACAACGACUUGUGUGCCUCAGACAGUCAGUUUUCCUACGGUGGUGUCAAUGGCACCCAGAAGCAGUGCAUGUGUGACGGCUUCAGUGACUACUGCAGUAAUGGAUAGGAUGAGUUUAUGCAGCUGUGUGGAAUUGACGAGUGCCGGGAGAAGAAUGUCUAGUGUGUGUGAGCCCCUUUGCAUCAACACUCGAGAGUCAUACUACUGGCAGUGCCGGCCAUACAGGGUACACACUCGUCUGGAAGUUCAACUGUGAAGACGUUGACGAGUGCGUGGAGUCGUCCAGAUCCUCUCCCUGAGGGAGUGUUCGGUCUGCCCAUCAGCAGCAACAGUCAGGAGAAGACGGUCAUUGAAGUGUCAAAAUCCCCAAGCUGGCAUGGUGGUGGGUGUUGUGCUGGGCUCCCUCGGGGUUCUUUGCCUAGCUGUUGGUAAUUCAGUACUACUAACGCCAAAGAAGUGAGGCAAGUUUUU